rnacentral:rRNA from 1 species
CGAAUAAUAUGCUGACUAAAGUUUAUUAACACUAAAGGACAAAAAGACCCUCUGAAGCUUUAUAGGGAUAAAACUUGGGUAACAUUCUCAAUACAAAUAUUCUUAUUGCAUGCCAGCUAAAGUAGUAAAUUAUUGGUUUUCUCCUAAGACCACUGUUUAAUUGGGGCGAUAACCUUAUCAACAGCCACCUAAGGUGAACAAAGCGAUACAAGGAUCCUAAACUUUUGACCAACUAAUAAGUGCAAAGAUACAUGUUUCGCUUAAUGGCCCAACAAGUCCUUCCCAGUACUUAAAUGCUAUCUUAAUGAGCUUUAAAUUAAUUUACCCGAGUUAAGCUACUCUACGGAUAACAGGCUUAAUUUCCGCAAUAUUAAAGGUCACAUUAUCACGAAAAAUGUACCUCGAUGUCGGCUUAUCAUCACUAAAAUAGGUAGCUUAAUUAUUGGUGGGAGUGCUCAUCCCGUAAAUUGGUUCGUGAGCUGGGUUCAAUACGAUGG